CCUACGGGAGGCAGCAGUGGGGAAUAUUGCACAAUGGGGGAAACCCUGAUGCAGCGACGCCGCGUGAGCGAUGAAGUAUUUCGGUAUGUAAAGCUCUAUCAGCAGGGAAGAAAAUGACGGUACCUGACUAAGAAGCCCCGGCUAACUACGUGCCAGCAGCCGCGGGAAUACGUAGGGGGCAAGCGUUAUCCGGAUUUACUGGGUGUAAAGGGAGCGUAGACGGUCCUGCAAGCCAGAUGUGAAAGCCCGGGGCUCAACCCCGGGACUGCAUUUGGAACUGUAAGGCUAGAGUGUCGGAGAGGCAGGCGGAAUUCCUAGUGUAGCUGUGAAAUGCGUAGAUAUUAGGAGGAACACCAGUGGCGAAGGCGGCCUGCUAGAACAUAACUGACGCUGAUGCGCGAAAGCGUGGGGAGCAAACAGGAUUAGAUACCCUAGUAGUC
rnacentral:rRNA from 1 species